GUUUGAUCCUGGCUCAGGACGAACGCUGGCGGCGUGCCUAAUACAUGCAAGUAGAACGCUGAAGUCUGGUGCUUGCACUAGACGGAUGAGUUGCGAACGGGUGAGUAACGCGUAGGUAACCUGCCUCAUAGCGGGGGAUAACUAUUGGAAACGAUAGCUAAUACCGCAUAACAGUAUUUACUGCAUGGUAGAUACUUGAAAGGAGCAAUUGCUUCACUAUGAGAUGGACCUGCGUUGUAUUAGCUAGUUGGUGAGGUAACGGCUCACCAAGGCAUCGAUACAUAGCCGACCUGAGAGGGUGAUCGGCCACACUGGGACUGAGACACGGCCCAGACUCCUACGGGAGGCAGCAGUAGGGAAUCUUCGGCAAUGGGGGCAACCCUGACCGAGCAACGCCGCGUGAGUGAAGAAGGUUUUCGGAUCGUAAAGCUCUGUUGUAAGAGAAGAACUGUGAGAAGAGUGGAAAGUUUCUCACUUGACGGUAUCUUACCAGAAAGGGACGGCUAACUACGUGCCAGCAGCCGCGGUAAUACGUAGGUCCCGAGCGUUGUCCGGAUUUAUUGGGCGUAAAGCGAGCGCAGGCGGUUUGAUAAGUCUGAAGUAAAAGGCUGUGGCUUAACCAUAGUACGCUUUGGAAACUGUCAAACUUGAGUGCAGAAGGGGAGAGUGGAAUUCCAUGUGUAGCGGUGAAAUGCGUAGAUAUAUGGAGGAACACCGGUGGCGAAAGCGGCUCUCUGGUCUGUAACUGACGCUGAGGCUCGAAAGCGUGGGGAGCGAACAGGAUUAGAUACCCUGGUAGUCCACGCCGUAAACGAUGAGUGCUAGGUGUUGGGUCCUUUCCGGGACUCAGUGCCGCAGCUAACGCAUUAAGCACUCCGCCUGGGGAGUACGACCGCAAGGUUGAAACUCAAAGGAAUUGACGGGGGCCCGCACAAGCGGUGGAGCAUGUGGUUUAAUUCGAAGCAACGCGAAGAACCUUACCAGGUCUUGACAUCCCGAUGACCGCCCUAGAGAUAGGGUUUCUCUUCGGAGCAUCGGUGACAGGUGGUGCAUGGUUGUCGUCAGCUCGUGUCGUGAGAUGUUGGGUUAAGUCCCGCAACGAGCGCAACCCCUAUUGUUAGUUGCCAUCAUUCAGUUGGGCACUCUAGCGAGACUGCCGGUAAUAAACCGGAGGAAGGUGGGGAUGACGUCAAAUCAUCAUGCCCCUUAUGACCUGGGCUACACACGUGCUACAAUGGCUGGUACAACGAGUCGCAAGUCGGUGACGGCAAGCUAAUCUCUUAAAGCCAGUCUCAGUUCGGAUUGUAGGCUGCAACUCGCCUACAUGAAGUCGGAAUCGCUAGUAAUCGCGGAUCAGCACGCCGCGGUGAAUACGUUCCCGGGCCUUGUACACACCGCCCGUCACACCACGAGAGUUUGUAACACCCGAAGUCGGUGAGGUAACCUUUUAGGAGCCAGCCGCCUAAGGUGGGAUAGAUGAUUGGGGUGAAGUCGUAACAAGGUAGCCGUAUCGGAAGGUGCGGCUGGAUCACCUCCUUUCUA
rnacentral:rRNA from 1 species